CCAGGUGAUGGCUUGGAAUUUCAGAGUUCUAAAAUGAACCUAAAAAGUUACUUCAGCAUCCUUAGAAAUAAGUUGUUAAGGCAUGAACAUUUGAGUUCAUCCAAAGUGUUAUCAAAAGGUCUCAUCAAAUUAUUUUAUGUAGAAGAGCACCCAAAUGUUAUUUCUUGCUGUUCCUCUUCUUUUCCUCAAGAGAAAGAAGGUUGAAAACUGAAAAUGAUGAAGUUGAAGAAUGAAGUCAAUGAGUGUUAAGAAGAGAUUCAUUUAUCCUUGAAAAAUGAAAAAGUAGAGUGCUGGUGGUGAUCAUGUCUUCCCUUCACCCAUGGGGACUUUUCAUUUAUCGCUGCCACUCCAGCAUGUUCACUAUUCUCUGUAGCAUGAAAAUCUGAUAAAGCUCAUGAGGGGAGAGAAAACUUAACUUCAAUAUUUUCCUGCUGAGCCUGAGAGUGCUUUGUAUACCCUAGCAAGAUGAAAAUCUUAGCUGCAGCAUCAGGAAGAGGACACCUCACUUUAUCCUACAUUCCUAUCUCAGUCAGGAAAGUAGCUCUAGAGAAGGAACUAAGAAGUCAAGGCCUUUUGUGAAGUUGCUCUGUUAUCUCUGUGGCCCCAAAGACCAAAAUGAUGGAGAAAAUGAAACCAGGAUGAUUUCUGACAUCUGCUUCCACUCCACCUUCUUUAACCACUUCAUCCACAUCUCUCUUAGCUUCUCACAUAAGUCUCACCUGGAAUCAUCUUAUUUACACCAAUAAAUUUACCUACCACCUGCCUGUUGAUUGCCAAA
rnacentral:lncRNA from 1 species